rnacentral:lncRNA from 1 species
GUUGUGUUUUAAUGAGAGAGAACACCAUUACCGAUUUUUUAUACUGAUAUGAUAUAGACUAUUUCGUUUUAUAUCAGUUUUUAAAUUAGCAAAACAAACAUUUUAUUUUUAAAGAUUUUAGUUAUUUUUUUAAAAGUUUUUUUUUUUCAAAUGGCAGUAAGAGCACUCAGAAGUUACGCCCACUAAUCACUGAAAUGAACGGAC